ensembl:lncRNA
GCUGGUUGUACACUAGCUCUGAUUCUUGAAUUAUGUUUUUAUUUUCCUUUUAUCAUUCCCCUUGGUUGAAGCAGUGUCUAUAAAUACCAUAUAACCCAAAUGCUGAGAUGGUGAAAAAACAAGGAGCACUGUACACAGGCAAAUCCCUCCUGCUUUUUCUCUGUCUCCCCAGACAAACAGCCCAUAUCUGGUUAUCCAUCCCAAAGUCACCAGUGCUUAAGCAAGUGGCUGUCAGGUACUAAAUCAUCAGAGGAGCAGGAAAAGCUUUUGGGGAUACCUGAUCCCUUCUGCAGCCCAGAUAUUACUGUUGUGCUUUGCAAUGGUUGUGAGCAUGCUCGAGGUUUUCAGAUCUCUGCAAAAGGCAAGCUUCAUGACUCAUGCAAGACCAACAUGAAACAGGCUAUACUCAAUCUGAUUGUCCUGAAGGUCACUUUCAAAAUCUCCAGAGGCUUCAGAGAAAGGGAAGCUGAUGCUUUCUGAGUGCCUCAAAGAGCCAAAAGAGGAGAAUCUCACUUUAGACCAUUAAAAGAGAA